UUUAUCUUGAUGAGGUCCCAAAAGUUCAUUUUUGCUUUUGUUUCCCUUGCCUUAGGAGCUAUGUCUUUAAAGACAUUGCUGUGGUCAAUAUCAAAGAGGUCACCACCUAUGUUCUCCUCUAGGACUUUGAUGGAUUCCAGUUUCACACUGAGUGGGACUUUAUAGAAGAAAUGCUUCGGCUCCCCCUUCAGAGCCCUCCAAUAGCUCCAUCUGUUUCGAGUGAUUCUACUCCUCCUGUUUUUGAGAAGAGUCAACCUGCCUGCAGUUAAUGGGAAUUUACAUUUUACUUUGAAGAAAGAAGCUGCAAGAUAUACUUGUACCAUUGUAGCCAUCAUCAAAACAUAAAAAAAAUGUGAGAGAUGUACCAAAUUUCUUCUCAUCACACUGCUGAAGAACAAGAGGGUACUCAUUUCAUCCA